AUACGUAGGGGGCUAGCGUUAUCCGGAUUUACUGGGCGUAAAGGGUGCGUAGGUGGUUUCUUAAGUCAGGAGUGAAAGGCUACGGCUCAACCGUAGUAAGCUCUUGAAACUGGGAAACUUGAGUGCAGGAGAGGAAAGUGGAAUUCCUAGUGUAGCGGUGAAAUGCGUAGAUAUUAGGAGGAACACCAGUAGCGAAGGCGGCUUUCUGGUCUGUAACUGACGCUGAGGCUCGAAAGCGUGGGGAGC
rnacentral:rRNA from 1 species